rnacentral:rRNA from 1 species
UUAUGAAGUAAUUAUUAAUCGGGUAAUAUUGGCGUAGCUUAAAACCUAAAGAAUUUGGCGGUAUCUUAAGAAGUCAGGGGAAUCUGUCACUUAAUUUGAUAGCCCACGAGAAUUAUACCAUUUUUUUGAAUAUCAGCUUGUGUAUUGCUGUCGUCAGUAGACCUUUGAGAGAGUUUACAAAUAUAAUUAUUUAUAUACGUCAAGUCUAAAUGCAGCUAAUAAAGUGGAGUAGGUGGAUUACAAUCUGGAUAUGGAUAUGGAGUUAUUAAUAAUAAUGAAGGUGGACUUGAAAGUAAUGAUCAAUUGUCAUGAAAUUUAUCUAAGAUAUGUACAUAUCGCCCGUCACUCUCAUCUUA